rnacentral:rRNA from 1 species
UACGAAGGGGGCUAGCGUUGCUCGGAAUCACUGGGCGUAAAGGGUGCGUAGGCGGGUCUUUAAGUCUGAGGGGAAAUCCUGGAGCUCAACUCCAGAACUGCCUUUGAUACUGAGGAUCUUGAGUACGGGAGAGGUGAGUGGAACUGCGAGUGUAGAGGUGAAAUUCGUAGAUAUUCGCAAGAACACCAGUGGCGAAGGCGGCUCACUGGCCCGUUACUGACGCUGAGGCACGAAAGCGUGGGGAGCAAACAGG